rnacentral:rRNA from 1 species
CCAGACUCCUACGGGAGGCAGCAGUGGGGAAUAUUGGACAAUGGACCGAGAGUCUGAUCCAGCAAUUCUGUGUGCACGAUGAAGUUUUUCGGAAUGUAAAGUGCUUUCAGUUGGGAAGAAAGAAAUGACGGUACCAACAGAAGAAGUGACGGCUAAAUACGUGCCAGCAGCCGCGGUAAUACGUAUGUCACGAGCGUUAUCCGGAUUUAUUGGGCGUAAAGCGCGUCUAGGUGGUUAUGUAAGUCUGAUGUGAAAAUGCAGAGCUCAACUCUGUAUUGCGUUGGAAACUGUAUAACUAGAGUACUGGAGAGGUAAGCGGAACUACAAGUGUAGAGGUGAAAUUCGUAGAUAUUUGUAGGAAUGCCGAUGGGGAAGCCAGCUUACUGGACAGAUACUGACGCUAAAGCGCGAAAGCGUGGGUAGCAAACAGGAUUAGAUACCCUGGUAGUCCACGCUGUAAACGAUGAUUACUAGGUGUUGGGGGUCGAACCUCAGCGCCCAAGCAAACGCGAUAAGUAAUCCGCCUGGGGAGUACGUACGCAAGUAUGAAACUCAAAGGAAUUGACGGGGGCCCGCACAAG